rnacentral:rRNA from 1 species
GCCCCAUGAAACACAUGUGGGGUGAAACCUGCUCAAUGGCUGUGAAUAAACUAAUCUAAUAGCAGUUAAAUAGCCGCGGUAACUCUGACCGUGAUAAAGUAGCAUAAUCACUCGUCACUUAAUUGGUGACUGGAAUGAAUGGUCAAACGAAUCUUCGUCUGUCUCUGAAAGAAUUUAGGUGAAUUUGAACUGAUAGUGAAGAUGCUAUCAAAAAAACUGUAAGACGAAAAGACCCUAUCGAGCUUUACUGGCAACUUAUAUAAUCUAUACACAUAUUUCAUUAUAAUUAAUUACAAUAUGUAAGUUUAACAGUUUGGUUGGGGCGACCACCUCUAAAAACGUACCAGAGGAAUUCUUAAGGUUAAUAAUAAUGUAAUAAGCUUUACUGGAUAUCUACAAAUUAAUCAGUUACUAAUAAGUAGGACAUAAUGACCCGUUUGUUAACUUACUUUAGCAAACGACAAUGGAAAAAGUUACCGUAGGGAUAACAGGGUAAUAUUUUCAAAGAGUUCAUAUCGAUGAAAAUGUUUGCCACCUCGAUGUUGAAUUGUGGUAUCCUAGAGGUGCAGCAGCUUCUAAGGGUUGGUCUGUUCGACCAUUAAAAC